CUUCCAGAUUUAACUUAGAGAUAUUUUUCUUCCAACUCUUUACUCAUGUUCUGAACUUCUUGUAAAUGCUCUGAGAUGAUUCAUUAUCCUCUGAAAUUUUGACAUCAAGACAAGACUGAAUUUUUUGACUAAAUAUGAAGCCCUAUUGAAAGUCAUUGCUUAACCACAUGAAACAUUCCCAGAAGAAGAAUUGCUGAAGGUCAGGACAAAAUUUCACAAUUAGAGCUCAUCUGGCAUUGUUUUCUACAGGAAAACUGAAAACUAAAGGAUCUUUUGUGCAGCUAAAAGCCCAUUUAUUUAUUUAUUGGGGUUUAUAUUCAUGCCUGUGGGAUGGUACCUUAAUGUUCUACCCAGUAUUUUGGAAGACAUCAAGAAACCAGGCGAAAUCAUGAGGUUGGAAUAAGCAUCUCUGAUGUUCCUUGAAUUAAUGGAUGGUUUUCAACCCCUCUGAAAAAUCAGCAAAAUUACUAUCAUUUCCUCUUGCUCCAAGGAUCAGACUGUGCCAUCCGUCAUCCACCCCAACACUCCGUCAGGACAGCUGCUUCUACACAGUCUGGUGUGUCAUGCAGAUCAUACCCUGUGACUUCCAUGGUCACUCCUGUGAAGUGGGUGCCUCGGUCAAAGGCUAUCGUGCGAGAGUUCCCGUUGGUAGAUCUACACUAUAUUAGCCCCGGAACAGUCACACUGUGUGAGGCUCUAUGGAGAUAAAAAGCAAAUCUACAUCUGAGAUGUGCGUACCUUUCUGCGAAGGGAAACACUGGCCCUUCUAGAAUGAAGGGGACCGAAACAGAUGACUUGCCAUCAGUGCGCAGCUGGUCUCCUUGAGGGACAGUGUCUUGCCCCGUGGACAUUGCAGCCUGCCAGCAUCCUCUGUCCAUGGAGAUUCUCCAGGCAAGAAUACUGGACUGAAGUAUGCUAUGCCCUCCUCCAAGGGAUCAUCCGAACCCCGGGACUGAACCCACAUCUCUUGCAUCUUCUGCGUUAACAGCUGGAUUCUUUCUAAUAACCCCACCUGGGAAGCCCUGAUUACCUGAUAACUCUAUGGAGAUUCUUCUACAUCUUCCAAGACUCAGUCACUUACAAGAGACUGCUUCUCAAAAGGAGUAUAAUUCCCCUCUGCUGUUAGCAUGGUCCUGGUCUAGAACCCUAGGAGGCUGUGUUAGGAUCCUUCCUCUGGGGCUUGCCCUAAAGCCACACUGAAACUCUUUUACCCACUUACUCUUCAAACACAGCUGGGAUGGAUCAUCUGACCCAAAUGGCAGGGCUGUUUGACAGAGGCCUAAAUUCUCUGCUGAACCCUUGACUGCUUUUGGUUCUACAGUUCUGACAGCCUUUUGUGUUCCCUGGUAUAUCAGUCAGAGAAGUAGACCUGCAUGUAAAACCUGUUGCUUCUAAAACCCAACAACCCCUUCAAGCAUU
ensembl:lncRNA